CGUUCGUUUGUUCUUACAUUUGUCGAGCAAUAAUAAACAAAAACAGCCAAAUCAUUAUGACAAUUAAAUAAAUUAUCUAUAGUUUGGUUCAAAUUAACUUAUUCAAUGUUCUUUUUUCUUUCAUUGACGGUAUUCUCGUGAUGAUAAACCUCAGGCUGACAUUCCUUCAUUUACAGUAUCUCAGGCUGAGUUUUCAUGUUUCAAAGUCGCGCGCAAUUGGCACCAUCUGUUGGAUGGCACUAUCUCCAUGGCACCGGGCAUCAAGCUCGAGAUUCCUGUGCCAGUCAAUCUUUAUUGUUACAGCUUGCAAGUGCGCAGGCGCAGACCCGCGGAGCGCGGAGCCUGCAGAACUGCGAGCGCUCUGUUGGAUGGCACUAUCUCCAUGGCACCGGGCAUCAAGCUCGAGAUUCCUGUGCCAGUCAAUCUUUAUUGUUACAGCUUGCAAGUGCGCAGGCGCAGACCCGCGGAGCGCGGAGCCUGCAGAACUGCGAGCGCUCUGUGGCUCACUUCCAUCAUUUUAGCUGAAACCCAAAAAUACCCCAGGCUUUAAAUUGCACUUGGCAGGAUGGUUGAACGGGGCGUAAUAAGCCAAGCUAUCAAAAGUCUUCAUUAUUGUCAGUUAUGUAAUAUCCAAAAAUGAUCCAAUCUCUUAGCAUAAUUCAGUCAAGAGUUUAAAGUGUCCAAGCAAUUUGUUUUUCAUAUACCGCCUGCAUCGUCAUACGCAGCAUAUCAAAAUAAUGAAGCCUUUCACGAGUACAGCUGUCGAAUUGAUGUAGGUGUUUCUGAGGCUUUGUGUCUCUGUCCCUCAUUUAUCCAGCUCCUCCUUGUAGGUCUUCUCUUUUGUUUGGGGACAAGUGGAGUUUGUUUGAGUUUUGCCAGCCCACUUAGAGCAAUCGAGACGCACAGAUGGUGGCAAACAAAGUCAACUUUUAUAAGGCUUUAAGAAACCAUCAUAGGAAGUUUUAUAAAAUAUUCACAAUAUUGGCGUUAUUUAGAUCCCGACAUAAUCAUUUUGACGUCGAGCAAGCGUAUACUGAUAUUAUCAAGAUUGCGCGCAACACUUUCCUCCUUCUGUUCAUGAAUUAUAACAUUCCGCUAGUAACUGUAAGUGUUAAAUUAACUUUUUGCUCUCUUAAGCUGACAUUACCUUCAUCUACAGUAACUCUGACUGAGUUUCCCUGUUUCUAAAUCGCGCGCAAUUGGCACCAUCUGUUGGAUGAGACUAUCUCCAUGGCACCGGGCAUCGAGCUUAAGAUUCCUGUGCCAGUCAAUUUUUAUUGUUACAGCUUGCAAGUGCGCAGGCGCAGACCCGGGGAGCGCGGAGCCUGCAGAACUGCGAGCGCUCUGUGGUACAAAGGACCCAUAACAGUCAGGCACGGUGCAGCGUUACCAUGAUCUUCUCCAUCCCACCGAUAGAUUCCCAUCCCGCCUGCAUCACUUUAACGACCAGCUUCCACCAAGUCCGCGAGCCUGACCGACGUUGCCCGGACGCAGAAUGCACGGGGGAAAAAGAGGACUGGUGGCACCACAGAACACUUUUUUGGAAAAUAUUGUUCGUCGCUCAAGUGAGACAAGUUUCUUGUUGGGGAAUGCGCAAAUCGUGGAGUGGCCUAUAGUUUACAGUAAUGACGGAUUCUGCAAACUCUCUGGUUACCACAGGGCAGAGGUCAUGCAGAAGAGCAGCACCUGCAGUUUCAUGUACGGCGAGCUGACAGACAAGAAGACAAUAGACAAAGUCAGACAGACCUUUGAUAACUAUGAAUCCAAUUGCUUUGAAGUGCUGCUGUAUAAGAAGAACAGAACCCCUGUGUGGCUCUACAUGCAGGUGGCCCCCAUCAGGAAUGAGAAUGAUAAGGUGGUCCUGUUCCUCUGCACUUUUAAGGAUAUCACUGUCUUCAAGCAGCCCAUUGAAGAUGAGACCACCAGAGGAUGGACCAAGUUUGCCAGGCUAACCAGGGCGUUAACCAAUAGCCGUGGUACACUUCAGCAGCUCACGCCUAUGAACAAGACUGAGGUCAGCCACAAGCAUUCACGACUGGCAGAGGCACUUCAGUUGGGCUCUGACAUCCUCCCUCAAUACAAGCAAGAGGCUCCUAAAACUCCACCUCACAUUAUAUUGCACUACUGCACCUUUAAGACCACUUGGGACUGGGUCAUCCUCAUCCUCACCUUCUACACGGCCAUCAUGGUGCCCUAUAAUGUGUCAUUUAAGACCAAACAGAACAACCUGGUAUGGUUGGUACUGGACAGCGUGGUGGAUGUCAUCUUUCUAGUGGAUAUUGUAUUGAACUUUCAUACAACUUUUGUGGGACCUGGAGGAGAGGUCAUAUCGGACCCAAAGCUCAUACGUAUGAACUACUUGAAGACCUGGUUUGUCAUAGACCUGCUGUCUUGCCUGCCCUAUGACAUCAUCAAUGCCUUUGAAAACGUGGAUGAGGAUCCCAUUGCAGACUCUUCUGCGGUGGGCCACAUGCCAGCUGCGGCCCACUCUCCACGCAACGCCACACGUGCGGAGGACUCGGUGUUGCCUGGUCUCAGCAGCCUGUUCAGCUCAUUGAAAGUGGUGCGUUUACUCCGCCUGGGUCGAGUGGCACGCAAACUGGACCACUAUCUGGAAUACGGUGCUGCUGUAUUAGUUUUACUGGUGUGUGUCUUUGGCCUGGUGGCACAUUGGCUGGCCUGCAUCUGGUACAGCAUUGGUGAUUACGAGGUCAUCGAUGAGGCCACCAACAGCAUCAAGACGGACAGCUGGCUUUAUCAAUUAGCUAUCAGUAUUGGCACGCCGUACCGCUACAAUGCCAGCGGCUCUGGCCAGUGGGAGGGUGGUCCCAGUAAGCACACGCUCUACAUAUCAUCUCUCUAUUUCACCAUGACAAGUCUCACCACCAUUGGCUUUGGGAACAUUGCACCAACUACAGACGGGGAGAAGAUCUUCUCUGUGGCCAUGAUGAUGGUGGGCUCUCUUCUGUACGCCACUAUCUUUGGAAACGUGACCACCAUCUUUCAGCAGAUGUACACGAACACCAAUCGCUACCAUGAGAUGCUGAACAAUGUGAGAGACUUCUUGAAGCUCUAUCAGGUGCCUAAAGGACUGAGCGAGAGAGUUAUGGACUACAUUGUGUCCACAUGGGCCAUGACCAAAGGCAUAGACACAGAGAAGGUUCUGUCCAUCUGUCCUAAGGACAUGCGUGCAGACAUCUGUGUGCACCUGAACCGCCAGGUUUUCAACGAGCACCCUGCCUUCCGGCUGGCCAGUGACGGCUGUCUGCGUUCUUUGGCGGUAGAGUUCCAGACCACACACUGCGCUCCAGGAGAUCUUAUUUUCCACGCAGGGGAGAGUGUGGACACUCUUUGCUUCGUGGUGUCUGGAUCGCUGGAGGUCAUUCAGGAUGAUGAGGUUAUUGCCAUUUUAGGUAAGGGCGAUGUGUUUGGUGACGUGUUCUGGAAGGAAUCCACGCUGGCACACGCUUGUGCUAAUGUGAGGGCUCUGACAUACUGUGACCUGCAUGUCAUCAGGAGGGACGCGUUACUCAAAGUGCUGGAGUUCUACACAGCCUUCGCCAACUCCUUCUCCCGAAAUCUCAUCCUCACCUGCAACCUCCGCAAGCGGAUUGUUUUCCGCAAGAUUGUUGAUGUGAAGAAAGAGGAAGAAGAGAGGAGACACCAGAAAAACGAGGUGACAUUGUCUAUCCCCGUGGACCAUCCUGUCCGCAAACUUUUCCAAAAAUUUAAGCAGCAGAAGGAGAUGCGUACGCAAGGUUCUUCACAACAUGACCUAGAGAGGAACCAGUUUCAGGUGGAACAUCACCUCCAUCCACUGUCCCACCAGCUUCAUCAGCAGCAAUAUCAGCCACAGUACCAGGGCCACCAUCCCCUUCAACACCAACAUGUGACCACCAUGCAAAACGGGGCCCCUGGCUCAGGAAACGGGAACAGUGGUUCUAGCGUUGUAACAGUCUCACAGAUAACCCCGAUCCAGAACGCUCUAGCCUACGUUCAGACCGAGGAACCCAACAGGAGUGAAGACAAUGAGGCUAUGGAGCUCAAGCCCAGCUUUGGCAUACAGGACUCGAAUUGUCUAAAAGUAACAAGUCCUGUGAGACCCAGAGGAGGAAGGGGACGAGGCUGGAUGCGUUUCCAUAACAUUGCAUCAGGAUCAUCGCCCAUGCUUUCACUGGAACUAGAGAAGAAGCCACAGCAGAAAGAAGAGGAGUGGGGGGAUGUGUCCCAGCCCCUGAAUGUCAUCUCAGGGAAUGGGAAGAGCCAGGAAGCAGAGGGUGGGGGAUCUGAUGAAAGGGGUCCUGGUGGAAAUGGUAACAGUAGUGAUGAGACUGAUGAGAAUACUGUCCUACACAAGACUGAUUCUUGUGACAGCGGAAUAACAAAGAGUGACUUGCGUAUUGACCGGGUAGGUGAUUCACGAAGCCUGUACGAGAGGGCCUCGAUGGAAAGGAGCCCAUACGAUCAGCCCAGUCCCGGAGUGGGUAGCGUCACCCUUCAGGGGAUUCAAUUUCAGCCUGUCCCUGAACAGGCUGUGCUUCAAAACAGCCUGUAUGAGGCAAAGCUGGAACUAAAAGGUGACAUCCAGACAUUAAAUAGUCGGCUAGCAGCUCUGGAGGACCAGGUGGGGGAGAUUUUGAGACUUCUGUCAGAGAAGAGGAAACCUUCCCCACCUCCUCAGACCUCCUCGCCAAAAACUACACUUCAGUGCCAGGACAACUUUGCCCUUUCUCAGCCUGUCACUCCAGAGACGGAGGGGGACGAUGGACCCCUUUGAAUUAGGAGAAAUAUAUUUAGAUAUUGAUAUGCUGUUUUUAUUUAUCACUUCCCUUCCUCUUACUCAGGAAGGAAAUGUGAAUAUUGAUGAUUAGGGGAAGGAUCCUUGCUGUUGUAAAUAUAUACUUGCAUGUCCAGCUGGAAUCUGGCCUGCCAAUGAAAUCUUCUCAAUGGAUAGUAGUUGCUUGUACACGUACGGAAUCGGCUGCAUGCGGAGAUGAUUUUAUUCUGACAUUGCACACAGGAUCUUCUAACCAGCCCAGCAGAGAGGAGCACAGACAGUGAAAGGAUUAUUCUUUGAGUCUCCCAUGAAAUUGAAGAGAUGGAUAUAAUAGAUGCUAAAAGCUGUAAUAGUGUGGCAGACGACGUGAGCCUCGUAAUCGAAUGGAGCUGGCUCACUGCGUGAACCCCAGGGUGCCUGUUCCGAGGAUUACACACAGUUUUCACAAAAUUAUGAGGGUAUUCAACUCCACUGGGUAUUGAAACUUUUCGGAGUGGGGAGGGUUUGGGAUGAGGUGCCCGAUCCACACACGCUGGAGCCGAUGAGUGUUGGACUCCAGCGAGGCGUUGGUCUCUGGCAUCUGACUGCAUGCUGCAUUUUUGAACUGUAUAAAACUUAAUGCCAAUGAGAAUGAUAUUUGCCUGCCAAAGCAGUGUUUUGCUGCGACCUUUCAUGCACACACAUACACAAAAUGGGCAGAGGCCUGGGCACUAAAUCACAAAUACAAUGUAAUGCUGUUCAUUAAAAGUAUACAUGUCAAUACAGGAAGUUUUUGAUGACUAUCAAUACAUGCUGGCCGUUGUAACACAAUCAGCAGAUGGUGGGAUGAUGUUAAAAACUAAAUAAAUGAACUGAAGGAAUUUAAAGAAAAUUAAUUUAAUGCAUUUUAUUUUCACCUACAAUAGUUUAUUUAAUAACAUGAAUAUUGAUUGUCUCUCACCAAAUAUUAGCUACAGUGCCUUUAAAAAGGAUUCAUGCCAUUGGAAGUUUUUGUGUUGUAUUGUUUUACAAAAUUAAACCUUGCAUAAUCUUUUUUUUUUUUUUUUACACUACUCUUUUAUGUCAAAUGUAUACAAUGCCCAUUGGUCAGAACUUCUUACAGUUGUUAAACAAAAUUAUUGCAUGGCACAAUUUUGCCCUUAAAUUCUCAGUUUGACUGAUAUCUGGACUUUUGGAUUUGUUAAUAUGAAUCAUUAGAUUUAUACUUGAGGUCACCAUUUUGCUGGAAACUGAUUCUCCCAGAACUUCAUCAGAACUUCUCUGUAUUUUGCUGCAUUCAUUUUACCCUCCACCUUCACAAACCUGCCAGGGCCUUUUUGGAGAGAAGCAUCCCCAUGAGGGUGUGUUUCUGAUCAUGUGCAGUUUGGCUUACAACAAACAUGCCGUUUAGCCUGAUGACCAGAAAGCUCAAUUUUAGUCUCAUCAGACAACAGAACCUUCUUCCAGCUGGCUUCAGAAUCUCCCACAUGUCUUCUGGCAAACUGUAGACGAGAUGUCAUAUGCCAUUCUCUAACAGUGACUUCUCUUUGUCACUCUCCCAUAAAGCUGCGACUAAAGCUUGUCCAUUUCUUAAUUACUUAUUUUACUCCAAUGAUAUUCAGUGACUUGGAACUCUUCUUGCAUCCAUUUCCUGGCUUGUGCCUUUUUAUUACUUUUUUUUUUAAUUACAAGAGUUGCUUGGAAUAUUAGUUUUUCUUCAUGGUUUAUGUUCUACAGCCGCAGUUCUGACUCACCAAAACUUGGACUUUGCAGAUAGAUGUAUUUAAAUCAUCAGAGACUACACACAAGUGAGAGUCAUUUAACAUUAAGUAUUUAUAUGACUACUAACCAGUUGGCUGCACCAGUGAUGAUUUUGGUGAGUCACAUUUGAGAAUGAAUACUUAUAAUAUUAUUAUAUUCAUAAUUAUUUUAAUCACUUGAGAUUUGUUUAACGUUUUGAAAUUAAAGUCUUUUUUUGGUUACACUUUAAUUUGCAAUGCCGUAGUUACAUUGUAAUUACUCAAAUAAGUACUGAGUAGUAUUAACUAACUACAUGUACUCAGGGGCGUAGCAACCGGGGGGGACGGGGGGGACACGUCCCCCGCACUUUUAGAAACAGGUGAUUCUGACCCCUGCUAUUUUUUAUUUUUUUGGAUCCAGCGUGAAUAUUUCCGGCACCGGCAGUGUUCUCUGAUUUGUUACUUAGAUUUGAGUGAACUAACAUUCAGCCAAUCACAGAGCGAAUCAUCUCUUGGGCGCGUCUGCUAUGAGCUUCAAAUC